rnacentral:rRNA from 1 species
CUACGGGGAGGCAGCAGUAGGGAAUCUUCGGCAAUGGGGGCAACCCUGACCGAGCACGCCGCGUGAGUGAAGAAGGUUUUCGGAUCGUAAAGCUCUGUUGUAAGUCAAGAACGGGUGUGAGAGUGGAAAGUUCACACUGUGACGGUAGCUUACCAGAAAGGGACGGCUAACUACGUGCCAGCAGCCGCGGUAAUACGUAGGUCCCGAGCGUUGUCCGGAUUUAUUGGGCGUAAAGCGAGCGCAGGCGGUUUGAUAAGUCUGAAGUUAAAGGCUGUGGCUCAACCAUAGUUCGCUUUGGAAACUGUCAAACUUGAGUGCAGAAGGGGAGAGUGGAAUUCCAUGUGUAGCGGUGAAAUGCGUAGAUAUAUGGAGGAACACCGGUGGCGAAAGCGGCUCUCUGGUCUGUAACUGACGCUGAGGCUCGAAAGCGUGGGGAGCGAACAGGAUUAGAUACCCUGGGUAGU